GCCGGCCGAUUUUGACCAAACGCCACACUGAGAAUCCUGCUUGAAGAGAAUCAGCCCUGUGGAAAGAUGAAACCUACAGCAGUGCUUGUUGUUGUGCUACUUCUGGUGUUAGCCUUUCACUGUGAGAACAGUCUGGUUUAUGGAACGUGCUGCAGAAGUGGAAGUGGAGUUUGUAAAACAUUUUCUGAAUGUCAGAAAAUAGGGGGAACCCUUCUUAGCAGCAACGAAUGUGGUUACAAUAAUGGAUGCUGCAUAUAGCAUCUCACGGGAAAAGAAGACCGAUGGCUUCACUUUUUCACCGACGCUUCAUGAAGAAUUUCUUCUAACUAUAAUUAAUAAUUAAUUCUGCAUUUCCAUACAUAGGGAUGCUCGUGAAGUGGUGAUUUGAUGGUGUUUUUCUUGCAUCAACUAAAUGUUUUAGUUAAUGUAGUUUAAGGUCAUUUUUUGAUCCCUGCAGUCAAAAAUGUCUUUAUUCAACUGAAAGCAAAUAAAAUCUUUCCUUAUUGAAACUUU